GACGAACGCUGGCGGCGUGCUUAACACAUGCAAGUCGAACGGAAAGGCCCCUUUGGGGGUACUCGAGUGGCGAACGGGUGAGUAACACGUGAGUAACCUGCCCUUGACUUCGGGAUAACUUCAGGAAACUGGGGCUAAUACCGGAUAGGAAUCCUUGCUGCAUGGUGGGGGUUGAAAAGCUUCGGCGGUUUUGGAUGGACUCGCGGCUUAUCAGCUUGUUGGUGGGGUAGUGGCUUACCAAGGCUUUGACGGGUAGCCGGCCUGAGAGGGCGACCGGCCACAUUGGGACUGAGAUACGGCCCAGACUCCUACGGGAGGCAGCAGGGGGGAAUAUUGCACAAUGGGCGGAAGCCUGAUGCAGCAACGCCGCGUGCGGGAUGACGGCCUUCGGGUUGUAAACCGCUUUCAGCAGGGGCGAAGCUUGUGGUGACGGUACCUGCAGAAGAAGCACCGGCUAACUACGUG
rnacentral:rRNA from 1 species